UACGUAGGGUGCGAGCGUUAAUCGGAAUUACUGGGCGUAAAGCGUGCGCAGGCGGUUUUGUAAGCCAGAUGUGAAAUCCCCGGGCUUAACCUGGGAAUGGCAUUUGGGACUGCAAGGCUCGAGUGCGGCAGAGGAGACUGGAAUUCCUGGUGUAGCAGUGAAAUGCGUAGAUAUCAGGAGGAACACCGAUGGCGAAGGCGACUACCUGGCCCAUUCUUGACGCUGAGGCGCGAAAGCUAGGGGAGCGAACGGG
rnacentral:rRNA from 1 species